rnacentral:rRNA from 1 species
UACAGAGGUCUCAAGCGUUAAUCGGAAUUACUGGGCGUAAAGCGCGCGUAGGCGGUUUGUUAAGUCAGCUGUGAAAGCCCCGGGCUCAACCUGGGAACUGCAGUUGAUACUGUCCGACUAGAGUACGAGAGAGGGAGGUAGAAUUCCAUGUGUAGCGGUGAAAUGCGUAGAUAUAUGGAGGAAUACCAGUGGCGAAGGCGGCCUCCUGGCUCGAUACUGACGCUGAGGUGCGAAAGCAUGGGGAUCAAACAGG